rnacentral:rRNA from 1 species
GACGAACGCUGGCGGCGUGCUUAACACAUGCAAGUCGAGCGGUAAGGCCCUUUCGGGGGUACGACGAGCGGCGAACGGGUGAGUAACACGUGGGUGACCUGCCUUUAGUCUCUGGGAGUAAGCCUGGGAAACGUGGGUCGUAAUACCGGAUAUGACUCCGCGGUGCAUGCUGUGGGGUGGAAAGCCUUGUGCGGCUGGAGAUGGGCCCGCGGCCUAUCAGCUUGUUGGUGGGGUGANGGCCUACCAAGGCGACGACGGGUAGCCGGCCUGAGAGGGCGACCGGCCACACUGGGACUGAGACACGGCCCAGACUCCUACGGGAGGCAGCAGUGGGGAAUCUUGCGCAAUGGGCGAAAGCCUGACGCAGCGACGCCGCGUGAGGGAUGAC